rnacentral:ncRNA from 1 species
AAAAUAUAAAGCCAAACCUGUCGUGAAGCAGGGACGGAAAACCAAAGGGUCUUGUCGGAAGAUAGCCAGGUCGCAAAA